UGUGGGGGGAAAAAUUGGGUCAAAAAGUAGUGUGUGGGGGGAAAAAUGGAUGGAAAGGAGCCCCAGAAUGGGACGUGCAGUGGGAAAAAUGGGUCAAAAAGGAGAGUGGUGGGGAAAAGUGGGUCAAAAGGGGCCCCAAAAUGGGUGGAAAGGAGCCCCAAAAUGGGAUGUGUGGGGAAAAACUGGGUCAAAAAGUAGUGUGUGGGGGGAAAGUGGGUCAAAAGGAGCCCCAAAAUGGGAUGUGAGGUGGGAAAAAUGGGUCAAAAUGGAGAGUGGGGGGGGGAAAUGGGUGGAAAGGAGCCUCAGAAUGGGUCAAAAGGAGCCCCAAAAAGGGAUGUGGGGGAAAAAAUCAGGUCAAAAAGGAGGUUGUGGGGGGAAAAAUGGGUAGAAAGGAGACACAAAAUGGGAUGUGGGGGGAAAAAUUGGGUCAAAAAGGAGAGUGGUGGGGGAAAAUGGGUGAAAAGGAGCCCCAAAAUGGGAUGUGGGGUGGGAAAAUUGGUCAAAAAGAGAGCAGUAGGGAAAAAUGGGUGCAAAGGAGCCCCAAAAUGGGAUGCGGGGAAAAAAACGGUCAAAAAGGAGUCCCAAAAUAAGAUGUAGGGUGGAAAAAACAAGCCAAAAGGGAGAGUGGUGGGGAAAAGUGGGUUGAAAGGAGCCCCAGAAUGGGUGGAAAGGAGCCCCAAAAUGGGAUGUGAGGUGGGAAAAAUGGGUCAAAAAGGAGUGUGUGUGGGAAAAACAGGUCAAAAGGAGCCCCAAAAUGGGAUGUGGGGGGAAUAAUUGGGUCAAAAAGGAGUGUGUGGGGGAAAAAUGGGUCAAAAGGAGACCCAGAAUGAGAUGUGGGGUGGGAAAAAUGGGUGGAAAAGUAGUGUGGUGGGGAAAAAAUGGGUCAAAAGGAGCCCCAAAAUGGGAUGUGGGGAAAAAAAAAUGGGUCGGGAUGGAGAGUGGCGGAGAAAAAUGGGUGAAAAGGAGCCCAAAAUGGGUCAAAAGGAACACCCACAUGAAGUGUAGGGUGGGAAAAAUGGGUCAAAAGUAGUGCGAGGGAGAAAAAAUGGGUCAAAAAGGAGCAUGGUGGGAACAAAUGGGUGGAAAAGGAGCCCCAAAAUGGGUCCAAAGGAGCCCCAAAAUGAGUCAAAAUGCAUUAAAUAUGGAUUUGGGUAAAUAACUACUGAUUUGGGUAAUUAAAUAUCGACUUGGGUAAAUAAAUAUCAGUUUGCUGGAACA
rnacentral:lncRNA from 1 species